CACGUAGUUAGCCGGGGCUUCUUACUCAGGUACCGUCAUUUUCUUCCCUGCUGAUAGAGCUUUACGUAGCGAAUUACUUCUUCACUCACGCGGCGUCGCUGCAUCAGGGUUUCCCCCAUUGUGCAAUAUUCCCCACUGCUGCCUCCCGUAGGAGUCUGGGCCGUGUCUCAGUCCCAAUGUGGCCGUCCGCCCUCUCAGGCCGGCUACUGAUCGUCGCCUUGGUGGGCCGUUACCCCGCAACAAGCUAAUCAGACGCGGGUCCAUCUUACACCACCGGAGUUUUUCACACCGCUUCAUGCGAAGCUGUGCGCUUAUGCGGUUUUAGCACCUAUUUCUAAGUGUUAUCCCCCUGUGUAAGGCAGGUUACCCACGCGUUACUCACCCGUCCGCCACUAACCCAUAUAUCACUAGGUUUCAAUAUGGGUCCGUUCGACUUGCAUGUGUUAAGCACGCCGCCAGCGUUCAUCCUGAGCCAGGAUCAAACUCU
rnacentral:rRNA from 1 species